rnacentral:rRNA from 1 species
CCUACGGGUGGCAGCAGUGGGGAAUAUUGCACAAUGGGGGAAACCCUGAUGCAGCGACGCCGCGUGAGUGAAGAAGGAAUUCGUUAUGUAAAGCUCUAUCAGCAGGGAAGAAAAUGACGGUACCUGAGUAAGAAGCCCCGGCUAACUACGUGCCAGCAGCCGCGGUAAUACGUAGGGGGCAAGCGUUUCCGGAUUUACUGGGUGUAAAGGGGGCGUAGACGGCAGUGCAAGGCUGGAGUGAAAGGCGGGGGCUCAACCCCCGGACUGCUCUGGAAACUGUACGGCUGGAGUGCAGGAGAGGUAAGUGGAAUUCCUGGUGUAGCGGUGAAAUGCGUAGAUAUUAGGCGGAACACCAGUGGCGAAGGCGGCUUACUGGACUGUAACUGACGUUGAGGCUCGAAAGCGUGGGUAGCAAACAGGAUUAGAUACCCCUGUAGUC